rnacentral:misc_RNA from 1 species
UUCCAUUUUAAAGUAAAAAGAAAUAUUAUUAGCUUCGUGUAAUUUUAAAUUUUGAUGAUAAUUUUCAUUAGCAAUCGUCAUAAACCUUGAUAAUCGUAUCACUUUAGCAAAUGUUAUCGUAUUAGCUAAAAAAAACAGUGUACUUACAUUUGAAUUGAAAUAACACUUAACUAUGAAAGUCUUCGUCGACUGGGAUACCAAUUUCAUAAAGACAAUUGAUGAGCUGGUUUAAGUCCACAUUAUCAUAAGCCCCCUCUAUAUCCAAAAAUAUACAUACUGCUGUGGAUCUAGACAAUUGACAAUUCUUCAUAUCAUACAUAAAUGAAGUUAUACUCUCUGCUGCGCUUUUACCUCUACGGAAACCAUAUUGAAAACCUGGUGGACAAUAAACACAAAGUAUUGAUAAGUCACCAACAUUGGUUUCUAAAGAAAUUGCUAUGGAUUGAACAUCUUCAUAAAAUUUUGUUUUCAAAAGUUUAUAUUUAAAUGUAUUUCUUAAUAAAAUACCUACGCCACCA